GACGAACGCUGGCGGCGUGCUUAACACAUGCAAGUCGAGCGAUGAAGUUCCUUCGGGAAUGGAUUAGCGACGGACGGGUGAGUAACACGUGGGUAACCUGCCUCAUAGAGGGGAAUAGCCUUCUGAAAGGAAGAUUAAUACCGCAUAAGAUCGUAGUUUCGCAUGAAACAGCAAUUAAAGGAGUAAUCCGCUAUGAGAUGGACCUGCGUCUCAUUAGCUAGUUGGUGAGGUAACGUCUCAACCAGGCGACGAUGCGUAGCCGACCUGAGAGGGUGAUCUGCUACAUUGGGACUGAAACACGGCGCAGACACCUACAGGAGGCCGCAGUGGGGAAUAUUGCUCAAUGGGGGAAACCCUGAUGCAGCGACGCCGCGUGAGUGAUGACGGUCUUCGGAUUGUAAAACUCUGUCUUCAGGGACGAUAAUGACGGUACCUGAAGAGGAAGCAACGGCUAACUACGUGCCAGCCGCCGCGGUAA
rnacentral:rRNA from 1 species